rnacentral:rRNA from 1 species
UGGGUGUGGAAGUACAGCAAUGUAUGAAGCUUACCAGUACUAAUGAUCCGAGAGACUUAA